CACCAAGAGGUUGAGUCAUAUAAUUGAUGGUAAAAAGAUAGUUAGGCAAAUGAAGAUAUAGGUUAUUGAAUGUAGCGCAUAGAGGUAAAAUUUAAGUGCGAUUAUAUAGUUUAGAAAUAACUUUAGAGCUGAAUCUGUGAAAUCCUUGGGGGAAACUGGGAUUAGGUACCCCAUUAUUCUCGGAUGUAAAUAGAAAAUGUCUACCGGAGUACUAUGAAUAAUAUAUAAUUUAAAACUCAAAGAACUUGGCGGUGUUUUAGACCACUUAGGGGAACCUGUCUCGUAAUCGACAGUCCACGUUGCACCUGACCUUUUUUUGUUUUCAGUUUGUAUACCGUUGUCGUCAGGUAACUUUUUAGAAAGUAGAAGUUGGCUAUAGAAAUUUAGUGAUUUAGUACGUCAAAUCAAGGUGCAGCUAAUGAGAGGGGGAGGAUGGGUUACAGUUAUACAGUUAUAAUAACGGAUGUCUACAUGAAAGUGUGGGUUGUGAAGGAGGACUUAGAAGUAAAUUGGAUUAGGAAAACAGUAUGAAUGAGGCUCUGAAACGUGU
rnacentral:rRNA from 1 species